AUGGCCACAUCAAAUUGAAACACUGGUUACCAUAUGAUCACCAAAGUCAAGCAACGUUGAGCCUGGUUAGUACCUAAAUUGGUGACCGCUUGGUAAUACCAGGUGCU